CUUUUUAUUUUGAUGAAGUCCCAUUUGUUUAUUCUUUCCUGUAUGUCUUUUGCUCUAGGGGACAUAUCAGUGAAAAUAUUGCUGCAUGAAAUAUCUGAGAUUUCCUUGCCUAUGUUCUCCUCUAGGACUUUAAUUGUGCCACAACUUAU